AUGACUUCAAAUGUACUGCUGAAUUUCCCUUCCCAAUAACAGCAUUGUUGAUCUUCUUCUAACACCAGCAUCCCAUUUGCUCUGCACCAGUAGAUCAUGGAGUAGCAACUGUCUCCAACAAUGUGUUCAGAUGUGAGCAGCGUCUUCCAGGGAAUAGCCAGAAGACAUAGGGAAGAAGAUGGAUGAGGACACACCCU
rnacentral:lncRNA from 1 species